rnacentral:rRNA from 1 species
UACGUAGGGUGCAAGCGUUGUCCGGAAUCACUGGGCGUAAAGCGCACGUAGGCGGGUUGCUAAGUCAGGGGUGAAAUCCUGGAGCUCAACUCCAGAACUGCCUUUGAUACUGGCGGCCUUGAGUCCGGGAGAGGUGAGUGGAACUGCGAGUGUAGAGGUGAAAUUCGUAGAUAUUCGCAAGAACACCAGUGGCGAAGGCGGCUCACUGGCCCGGUACUGACGCUGAGGUGCGAAAGCGUGGGGAGCAAACAGG